rnacentral:rRNA from 1 species
CAUCACUACGCUAGAUGCAUAUCAAUAAGCGGAGGAAAAGAAACUAACAAGGAUUCCCUUAGUAACGGCGAGUGAAGCGGGAAGAGCUCAAAUUUGAAAUCUUCAAGGUUUUACCUUGACGAAUUGUAGUUUAAAGAAGUGUUUUCUGUUGGAGUUUUGGUAAAAGUUCUUUGGAAUAGGACAUCAUAGAGGGUGAGAAUCCCGUAUUUGACCAUUAUUUCCAGCUGUGUGAUACACUUUCAAAGAGUCGGAUUGUUUGGGAAUGCAGUCCAAAAUGGGUGGUAAAUUUCAUCUAAAGCUAAAUAUUGGCGAGAGACCGAUAGCGAACAAGUACCGUGAGGGAAAGAUGAAAAGAACUUUGAAAAGAGAGUUAAACAGUACGUGAAAUUGUUAAAAGGGAAGCGUUUGACACCAGUGUUGUUUUCUCGAAAAUCAAUUAAAAAUGAUGGGAUUUUGUGUUGUAUUGACUUUAUCAAGCUUUCUCUCACUUUUUCUUAGUCUUUUUUAAUGCACUUUUCGUUUAACAAGUCAACAUCAGUUUCUUUUGUUGUAAAAGAGUCAUUGGAAGGUGGCUUUUUCUUCGGAGAAAGUGUUUAUAGCCUUUGACUUCUGCAAUCGGAGAGAUUGAGGUCUGCAGCGUAGAUCCUUCUGGAUUAGAUACAUUUGUGCUAAGCUAUAGUUCUUGUAUAGACAACUUGUUGACUAUGAUCAGUCCUGUAGCUUACUCGCUGAUGCUAUUUUACCUACGCUUAGGAUGUUGACGAGACUGUCGAUCUC